rnacentral:snoRNA from 1 species
GGAAAGGUGAGGACUUUAUAUUGUCUUGAAAAGAGGUGAUGAUUUAAUAUUCAAGUACAAUGGCAUGAUGCUGAGGUCC